GGAUUGCCUGGAUUAAAUGGUCUCAAUGGACUGCAGGGUCAAAAAGGCCUGACAGGCCCUCCAGGUUUAAAUGAAAUGGGGCCUCCAGGACGCACAGGAGAACCAGGACCAAAAGGCAACAGAGGAGAACCUGGACUACCAGGAAUUUCCCGCCUGGGUCCCCCUGGAGACAUGGGCUUCUUAGGUCCUCCCGGUAUGCCAGGUGUGACUGGAUCUGCAGGCCUCAUGGGCCCACCUUCUGAAAGCAUACUUCCUGGACCUCCAGGAGACCAAGGACCUUCUGGGUUAGAUGGCAUUAGAG